GGGUGCGAUCAUAUCAGCACUAAUGCACCGGAUCCCAUCUGAACACCGCAGUUAAGCAUGCUUGAACGAGAGUAGUACUAGGAUGGGUGACCUCUCGGGAAGUCCUUGUGUUGCACCCC
rnacentral:rRNA from 1 species